AGUGAACGCUGGCGGUAGGCCUAACACAUGCAAGUCGAACGGCAGCACAGUAAGAGCUUGCUCUUACGGGUGGCGAGUGGCGGACGGGUGAGGAAUACAUCGGAAUCUACUUUUUCGUGGGGGAUAACGUAGGGAAACUUACGCUAAUACCGCAUACGACCUACGGGUGAAAGCAGGGGAUCUUCGGACCUUGCGCGAUUGAAUGAGCCGAUGUCGGAUUAGCUAGUUGGCGGGGUAAAGGCGCACCAAGGCGACGAUCCGUAGCUGGUCUGAGAGGAUGAUCAGCCACACUGGAACUGAGACACGGUCCAGACUCCUACGGGAGGCAGCAGUGGGGAAUAUUGGACAAUGGGCGCAAGCCUGAUCCAGCCAUACCGCGUGGGUGAAGAAGGCCUUCGGGUUGUAAAGCCCUUUUGUUGGGAAAGAAAAGCAGCGGGUUAAUACCCCGCUGUUCUGACGGUACCCAAAGAAUAAGCACCGGCUAACUUCGUG
rnacentral:rRNA from 1 species